AUGUACACCUGUGCCAAGUGUGUUCCCACCUUUCUCUGUUUGAGAGCACCUGUCAGGUGCUAAGCCCACCACUCUCUGCAGUAGUUCUCAAGCAACCAGAGACACUAACAGAUGAGAGCUUCAGCAGUUUGGCAGCCCCACAUCCCCCGACCUCACUUAACCCUAGUCACAGCUUCCAAACCAGCACCACUUCAAGGGAUAUUGGCAUAGCAGCCAAGUUCAUUGGGGCUAGGACUUCCAAAGUCAGGACAGCUGGCUCUGGGGCUAAAAUUGCAGCUGUGUUUGGGAGCCUCACCAUUGAUUAUGCCAAGAACCCUGUCUGAAGCAACAAGUCUUCUCCUAUGCCAUUCUGGGGCUUUGCACUCUUAGAGGCCAUGGAGUUCUUUGGCCUAAGGGUGGCUUUUCUCAUCCUCUUCACCAUGUAA
rnacentral:lncRNA from 1 species